AUAUGAACCACCAAGGGAUCUUGUUAAAAUGCAGAUCCUGAUUCAACAGAGAUGGGCAGAGGGCUGAGAUUCUGAAUUUCUAACAGCCUCCCAAGUGAUGUUCAU
rnacentral:pre_miRNA from 1 species